GCGCGGCCGCUCCGCCCUCACCUGAGCCUGAGGUUGGCCAUGAACUCGGGCAUGGAGACGGUGUCCAUCAGCACGAAGUCUGCCUUGCCGAAUUCCAGGCUCUCCUGCUCCGCCAUGGCGCCAGCGCGGGGGCUCAGGAUUAUUGCGGAUGUCUUGAGCAUGGGACCAUUCUUUUUGCAUCCACCAAAUAACUAUUGUACUACUUUGCAUAUAUAAAUAUGAAAUCCAUACUGGUUCAGUGGAAUGAAGUGAGUUGACAUCUUCUAUUACAAAAUCUACGAGGAAAUCUAGAGGCCUCCAAGGACCUGGCUGGGCUUCAACUCUGGCUGAGUUUGAGAUGAGUAAACCAGACUGAAGGACCUUGCCCAAGGCCUGCUUCAGCUGCCAGCCACCCACACUUGCUAAGAGAAAGGAAAGGAGCUUUGUCACCUCCUGAGGGACUGCCUCUGCCAUCAGAAAACCACCCCAAUCCCUGGCACCAGCAGAGCUGGGUUGCAUCUGACUACCGUUAGCAGCUGUCCUUCAGAAGGAGGAGAUCCACCUGUCUCGAUAUCAGUGUCCUCAUUUGUGGAAUAAAAGCUCUGGAAUAAGGU
rnacentral:lncRNA from 10 species